UGUCGGGAAGUAAGUAUACAGAUUGUACCUAACAGUUUAUAACUUUAUAAAGCAUGAUCACCUAUCAUUUUUUUAAAGCACUGUAAAUUUUAGUUUGAGCAAACAGAUCCAACUCAAUGUCACCCCUCUAGAGCACCAGGAUCUAAAUACAUGUCACCCAUCUCAUAUUGCACUAGGAUCUAAAUCAUUUUCACCGUUUGCUCCUACAUUGAUAUUUUAU
rnacentral:lncRNA from 1 species